rnacentral:ncRNA from 1 species
CGUCUCCUCCACCCUCCUCCUUUGGUGUGGAUUUAAGCCCGAGCCUCAACCGCUCGGGCUUUUUCUU